rnacentral:rRNA from 1 species
CCUACGGGUGGCUGCAGUGGGGAAUAUUGGACAAUGGGCGGAAGCCUGAUCCAGCCAUGCCGCGUGUGUGAAGAAGGCCUUUUGGUUGUAAAGCACUUUAAGCGAGGAGGAGGCUACCUGGAUUAAUACUCUAGGAUAGUGGACGUUACUCGCAGAAUAAGCACCGGCUAACUCUGUGCCAGCAGCCGCGGUAAUACAGAGGGUGCGAGCGUUAAUCGGAUUUACUGGGCGUAAAGCGUGCGUAGGCGGCUGAUUAAGUCGGAUGUGAAAUCCCUGAGCUUAACUUAGGAAUUGCAUUCGAUACUGGUCAGCUAGAGUAUGGGAGAGGAUGGUAGAAUUCCAGGUGUAGCGGUGAAAUGCGUAGAGAUCUGGAGGAAUACCGAUGGCGAAGGCAGCCAUCUGGCCUAAUACUGACGCUGAGGUACGAAAGCAUGGGGAGCAAACAGGAUUAGAUACCCUAGUAGUC